rnacentral:rRNA from 1 species
UACACGUAGGUAACCUACCCUCAGGACUGAGAUAACCCCGGGAAACUGGGGCUAAUAUUAGAUAGAUAAAAGAUACUGGAAUGUUCUUUUAUCCAAAGCUUUUGCGCCUGAGGAUGGGCCUGCGUCCGAUUAGGUUGUUGGUGGGGUAAUGGCCCACCAAGCCUACGAUCGGUACGGGCAGUGAGGGCUGAAGCCCGGAGUUGGGGACUGAGACAAGGCCCCAGGCCCUACGGGGCGCAGCAGGCGCGAAACCUCUGCAAUGCGGGAAACCGUGACAGGGGGAUCCCAAGUGCUCAUGCAUUGCAUGGGCUGUUCUUUGGUCUAAGUAACCAGAGGAGUAAGGGCUGGGCAAGACCGGUGCCAGCCGCCGCGGUAAUACCGGCAGCUCAAGUGGUAGCCGCGAUUAUUGGGCCUAAAGCGUUCGUAGCCGGAUAAGUAAGUCUUUGGUUAAAUCCUGCGACUUAACCGUGGGAAAUCUAGAGAUACUGCUUGUCUUGAGACCGGGAGAGGUUGGAGGUACUCCCAGGGUAGGGGUGAAAUCCUGUAAUCCUGGGGG